AUUGAACGCUGGCGGCAGGCCUAACACAUGCAAGUCGAGCGAGCGGCGGACGGGUGAGUAAUGUCUGGGGACUGCCCGAUGGAGGGGGAUAACUACUGGAAACGGUUGCUAAUACCGCAUACUAUCGGAUAACCCAUAUGGGAUUAGCUAGUAGGUGGGGUAAAGGCUCACCUAGGCGACGAUCUCUAGCUGGUCUUAGAGGAUGAUCAGCCACACGGGGACUGAGACACGGCCCAGACUCCUACGGAGGAAGCAGUGGGGAAUAUUGCACAAUGGGCGCAAGCCUGAUGCAGCCAUGCCGCGUGUAUGAAGAAGGCCUUAGGGUUGUAAAGUACUUUCAGCGGGGAGGCGUUACCCGAAGAAGAAGCACCGGCUAACUCCGUGCCAGCAGCCGCGGUAAUUC
rnacentral:rRNA from 1 species